rnacentral:lncRNA from 1 species
AGUCAUCAAUCUCAUGAGAGUCAUCUUGCCAUCUGUACCAGCAUUGCUCCAGGCUUCCAUAUGAAAGUCCAAUCUGGCGGUAUAAAUACUGGAUAAUGAAGACGUUGGCAGAGUCUUUACUCUGCACACCACUGCUGACCCCAGAUAUGACCCACAGGAACUACUGGCGAAAGGAGCAAAAAGGGGAAAAGAAUUAUCUUCCUGAUGGUCUUGUGUCCUCUGUGCUGGAUCUGCAGUUGUUUUCCGCCUGUAAACUCGCCUCUUGUUGGUCAAGCUUUUCGGCAUUUAUUCAAAUAAAAUUCUUAGGCACUCAGUUGAGAUUGGUAAUUUUUUUUGUUUUGCUUGGCAUAAGAACUGAAGAAAACGUGCCCAGAUCAGGGACCAGCCAACAUCCUCUUUAAUUGCAGCCAGCAGAAAUGAUGUGCUUUGGAUACAGCUAACAAAUACUGGAGGCCUGAAGGAUACCAUUUGUUUUUCCUUCUCCUACUGACCUAGCCACUGGGACCGCUUCACUCCCCUGCUCUGUGCAAGCAGGUAGGAACUCUGAGCUUCUCUUUACUCAGCUCAGGAAGAUGCAACGUCCUUUUCUAUCUGAAGCUGCUGAAUCUGCCAAAUACCAGGUUCGCCACAUUACUAACACACUCUUGAGCCUGAUCCUGCUAGAAGAAGCAUUUCAGAAGACAAUAUUUGGGCCACAUCAGGACUACAGUGUUGGCAAUGAAUAAGGUAGAGAAAAAAAUGGUGUUUUUGUAUCCUGAUGUGUAUCCUCUGUCCAAUACCAAUAGGCAUAUUACCGAUAACAUGGCCAUAAUUCUGGUUAUAGUACAGUUCUCCUUGGCACUCCCAUUGUUCAUACUCCAGUCUCCCAAAUAAGUGAGGUUGAAUUAGGCUUAUUACUAUUUUUCACUCUUAGAUUACUGGUGUUUUACUCUUAGUGUACUGGACUCCAGCCUCUUUAAUUAAAAGCUUGUGAACAUGUAUCCCAUAAAUAAUUUCUCACCUUCACAGCUGGUUUUUUUUUUUUUGUAUUUUUUUUUUCUUUUAAAGCAGAGCUAGUUGAUGUUUUUGAGAAAACUCUUUUUCUCUUUUCCUACUGUUACCAGUCUCUUCACUUUUUCAGUUCUGGAAACACUACCGUGACUUAUUCAUUUUGCAAUCAUUGAGACAUUUCUUAAAACGUAUAGAAACAGUUUCUCAGUGAACAUGUACAAUUUUUCUUCUCUCAUUAAAGAGCAUAAAUUUUUAUUCCAGUUACCCAUCAAAUAGUAUUGAUAAUUACUUUUGUUAACUAACUCUCAAAUAACUUAAUAAAAGUGUGAAAUAACAAAAAAAAAUAUCUCA